CAAUAGCGUAUAUUUAAGUUGCUGCAGUUAAAAGCUCGUAGUUGGAUUUCGGGUGGGAAUGGCCGGUCCGCCGUUUCGGUGUGCACUUGCUACGCCCACCUUGCUGCCGGGGACGUGCUCUUGAGUUCACGCUCGGGACACGGAGUCGGCGAGGUUACUUUGAGUAAAUUAGAGUGUUCAAAGCAGGCCUACGCUCUGAAUACAUUAGCAUGGAAUAACACGAUAGGACUCUGGCCUAUCUUGUUGGUCUGUAGGACCGGAGUAAUGAUUAAGAGGGACAGUCGGGGGCAUUCGUAUUUCAUUGUCAGAGGUGAAAUUCUUGGAUUUAUGAAAGACGAACUACUGCGAAAGCAUUUGCCAAGGAUGUUUUCAUUAA
rnacentral:rRNA from 1 species